UACAGCAAUAGCAGCAGGGAGGCCGGAGCAGAAUUCCUGGGGUAGUCAGAAGAGGGACUUUCAGAAUGGAUCCUCUCCCUUCUGGCCAUCUCAGGGAAGACAGAAGCCACAAGGGUCAGCAGGUCGACUGACUGAUUGUUCGCCAUCGGUGAAUGACCGCUUUCCUGGUUCUCAGUGCCCUCUGUGUGGCCUGUGUGAUGACCCCAGGCAGGUGGUGUUCAGUUCCAGUGGUGGUCCCCAGGAUUUCCUCCCUCGGUUGUGACUCUUCAGGGCCCGGCCAUUGAUCUAUGUCCGGCCCCCUCCCUUAGCAUCUUUCCACGCACAGGAGAUGGGCAGGUGCACAGAUGAAGUGGCCUAUGUGAAAUUGUUUUGUCAAGUACUUCACAAUGCUAAUACUGCUACGCUGAAAAGCGCUUAGGUUUGUACCCUAGGGGAUAAAGGAUGUUCAUCUCAACAGCCUCCUAAUUUUAAAUUCUAGAUUAUUUUCAUUAUUAAUGUGAAAG